rnacentral:rRNA from 1 species
GAUGAACGCUGGCGGCGUGCCUAAUACAUGCAAGUCGAGCGAACAGACGAGGAGCUUGCUCCUCUGACGUUAGCGGCGGACGGGUGAGUAACACGUGGAUAACCUACCUAUAAGACUGGGAUAACUUCGGGAAACCGGAGCUAAUACCGGAUAAUAUAUUGAACCGCAUGGUUCAAUAGUGAAAGACGGUUUUGCUGUCACUUAUAGAUGGAUCCGCGCCGCAUUAGCUAGUUGGUAAGGUAACGGCUUACCAAGGCAACGAUGCGUAGCCGACCUGAGAGGUGGACCGCCACAACGGAACUUGGAACACGGUCCGACUCCUAAGGGAGGCCAGAGGUGGGAAUCUUUCCGCAUGGGCGGAAGGCCUGAGGAGCAACCGCCGCUGGAUGAAGGAGGGCCUCCGGUUGUAAAACCUCUUUAAUUGGGAAGAACAAAUGUGUAAGUAACUAUGCACGUCUUGACGGUACCUAAUCAGAAAGCCACGGCUAACUACGUG